AUUAUUCUUCGGAAGAAAAACCACUCAGAAACGUUUCCCCGAGAUAAAAAGCACAAAACUGCAAAAACAUGAGGCCGAUCUGGUCGUUGUCUUGUUUAAGUGAGAGAGCGUCGGGGAUCAGUUAAGUGCCCCUCGUAAUCCCUCAAUCGAGAUAGCCAGUUAUGUCUUCAAUGGAAGAAACACCUUCCCCUCCAAAGCGUCGAUUGUUGUGCGCCACCUAUUUCGACGCCCUCUGUUCCAGUGCAUCAGAUGUAGCAGUAUUAUAGACUUGGGUCACUUGAUAACUGUUCUGGGAAAUGGACUUCUCUGGUUGAUUGCUUGGCUUUGAAGACGAAGCGGUCAUCUGAAGUGCAGGAAAUUUUGGAAACUCGGGAGAAAGGCAAGUCUCACGUCUGGACUUUUCGAACUCCAGAAGAAGCAUCGGUUAACUAGAAAGAACAAUAUGGAGAUUCAGAUGAAGUGGAAUGACUGAGAUUUAGUCCAGCAUUCGUCUAACUUUUCCCCACAAUCGGCGAGAGGUCUGCGCGUACAAUAUCAUUUUCCUGUAGAAUUUUGUUUAUUUUUGUUAGGAAGCUCAAAUGAUUAAUUUGAAGACACACAAACGGGAAGCAUAUAAACAUUUUUGAUCUUUGGUAGCAAUAAUAUCAAAUAUUUUUGCAGUA